rnacentral:misc_RNA from 1 species
GAUGAAGAACGCAGCGAAAUGCGAUAAGUAAUGUGAAUUGCAGAAUUCAGUGAAUCAUCGAAUCUUUGAACGCACAUUGCGCCCCCUGGUAUUCCGGGGGGCAUGCCUGUUCGAGCGUCAUUUCACCACUCAAGCCUCGCUUGGUAUUGGGCAACGCGGUCCGCCGCGUGCCUCAAAUCGACCGGCUGGGUCUUCUGUCCCCUAAGCGUUGUGGAAACUUUCGCUAAAGGGUGUUCGGGAGGCUACGCCGUAAAACAACCCCAUUUCUAAGGUUGACCUCGGAUCAGGUAGGGAUACCCGCUGAACUUAAGCAUAUCAAUAAGGA